rnacentral:lncRNA from 12 species
AAACAAAACAAAAAAUCAGAACAAGCCAUAUAAGGCCCAGAGAAUUCUGCCCUGCUGACUCGGGCCAGGCUGGGGACCUGCACUUAAAGGAAAAGGAACAGCAGCUCCUUCCCCUUGGGCUCCCCUGCCCCAGCUUUGCACUGCUCCUGCCACUGCUCCUUUCAGGAAUAUUUUUAUGACACUAUGCUGUCAUCUCCAGUUAACCUGCCUACAUGAACGAGAUAAUAUUGAAGGCACAUGCUCAGAACUCCUUGCCAUAGGUGCUGAAUGGCUCUGGCUGCCCCUUGCAGCUGCACCUGGAAGGAACAGGCACUGCUGGAGGCUCUGCUCUUGGAAAAGGGGCUGGAAAACCCAUUUGAGGC